AGCUUUGCGCAGUGGCAGUAUCGUAACCAAUGAGGUUUAUCCGAAACGUGAUUAUUGCUAAUUGAAACUUUUAAUGUUGAUAUUUUGGUGGACAUUAAGGAUAGCUGCUAAAUGUUAUUACACAACUUCUUUAUUGUCAGGAAAAAU